CGAAUAUCUACACAACUGGAUUCUUAAAAAAACAUUUUUUUUUGCAGAUUAGUUAUGGUUUAUUCUGAAGAUCUUUUUUUUGUGUGUGUUUAUCUAACCAAAUUGGUACAUAAAAGAACGUUUUUUUGUAGGUGUUGCUGUCGGCACUGGAUGAACAUGGAUGAAGCGGUGUAUUAUGUGGUGUAUCUGGCAAGCACUCAGAACUUUUGUUCUUGAUAAAAAGGUAUCAUCAAUAUCUAACAAUUUAGAUUGGACUUCUUCUGAUUUAUAAAAAGUCUAUACGAAAUAAAUAAAUAGCGUGGGAUUGAAAUAAUGAUUUGAAAUCAUUGUGUAUUUUGAAAUACUCUAUCUUUCUCUUAAAUAGCCAAUCUUUCUCUAAAACACACCAUUGGUUUCAUGUGUAUAUAAACUUUUAAUGGCCACAUCCUUAGGAUUGGUCAUGAAAAUGAUUUGAAGAUUGGAAAAAAUAGAAAGUAUAUUAGAUGAUAGUGUAACACUAAAGCUUUGAAAACCAUAUAAGUAUUGAUUUAUUUUUGUUUUCUCAUAUGUGAGCCUUUGUUUUCUUUAGAUUUUUCUGUUUUCUUCAUAAUUUUUUUGUUGCAUUUGUCAGAAAAAAAAGAGUGAAAAAGUUUAUGUGUAUCUUUAAAAGAUGUUAAGAAGAUUUACUGUUGGUUGAGGAUUAUUAGGAUCCAGUUCUAAUAAGUUCCAAUCAAUGGUUAUUUUUUCAUUUUUGCAAUAAAUUUAAUAACUGCCAUUGUUCUAAUCACGUGUAUGUGUAUUUUUAAUAGCUGCCACUGUUUUGGCAGCUAGAUUGCUUGAUGUCUUUAAAAUCCCCGUAUUUUUGCUUGAUGUCUUUUGAAAUUGAUAAACUUGAGAAAAAGAAAAAAAAAACUCAUUCCUUUUUUCUUUUGUUCAUCAAAAAACAACUUUUUUGCAGCUAUGGUUGGCAACAGUUUAGCUAAUAUAUAAAAAAUUACACUGACACUGUUUUCUUUUGUGACUUCUGCAGAUCCUAGAGACGAUACUUACAUGCUCCAUUGACAGCAAGUCUUCAUCUGUGGAGAAAAUUCAUAAAUAUAAGCUAUGUAUAAAAUUGAAAUAAGUAUUGUAAUACUUGCUUAGUAUCUUAGUUGUAAUUGAAAUUAAUAGUAAAUAGGCACAUUAUAAACAAAUAAAAAUAAA
rnacentral:lncRNA from 1 species